GUCCACGCCGUAAACGAUGAAUGCUAGCUGGUGGGUCUUCUACCGACUCGUCGGCGUCGCUAACGCAUUGAGCAUUCCGCCUGGGGAGUACGGCCGCAAGGCUAAAACUCAAAGGAAUUGACGGGGCCCGCACAAGCGGUGGAGCAUGUGGUUUAAUUCGAAGCAACGCGCAGAACCUUACCCGGUCUUGACAUCCAAGGAAUCCUGCGGAAACGUGGGAGUGCCCCCUCCACGGGGGAACGUUUGAGACAGGUGCUGCAUGGCUGUCGU
rnacentral:rRNA from 1 species